ACUGAACCAAAGACAGAGGUUGUAUGGACAGGGAUUGUGAUAUGUCUGCUAUCAAAAGGAUAGACAUCCGCAUACAGAUGAACUGAGGUAAAAAUGCAGGCUUGCUCCAGAAAUGUGCUUCUAGAAAUCUGUUUUGUGGACAUUGAUAUCAAUUUGACUGCUUCAGAGGACUAUCAAUCAACUGCAGCGCCAACUAGAAAGAAAAGCAAAAGCAAGAAUUACUAGCAGUAUCACCAGGAACAUCGGUGGCAUCAUCGAGAGGAUUAUGGGCAGCAGCAUCAGUGUCGAUAUUGGCAUCAUCUCAUGCAGUAUCAUCAGCAUCAUUGUGUGUAAGUAGGUGUGUGAAUUGGAAGCUCCUUUUUUGUUUUAUGCUGCUUGUUUUGGAGUGUUUGUUUCUGAGAUGAUGCUAUCCUCACAAGUCAGUGUAUGGCCACAGAAAAGCAGACACUGAUUAAUAUUUAACAGUUAGAUAUCUCUGUAUAUGCUUAGCCACUCCAAAAACACAAGGUUAUCACUGGGAGAGAAAAUAAUUCUCAUUCCAGAAUAGGAGACAACCAUGAACUAACUAACAUUAUUUGGUCAGUUUUGGUGGACUGACUUUGUUAAUUUUAUAUUGUGUAUUUUCAAUACAAUUGAGGGAAAAUAAUUUUCUUUUGGUACCAGAUAAAGCCUAUGUAGCAGCAUAUAAAGUAGGGAAUUUAUUAGUCAUAAGUAUUAGCACCAAAAAGAGUUAGU